GAUGAACGCUGGCGGCGUGCCUAAUACAUGCAAGUCGAGCGAACAGACGAGGAGCUUGCUCCUCUGACGUUAGCGGCGGACGGGUGAGUAACACGUGGAUAACCUACCUAUAAGACUGGGAUAACUUCGGGAAACCGGAGCUAAUACCGGAUAAUAUAUUGAACCGCAUGGUUCAAUAGUGAAAGACGGUUUUGCUGUCACUUAUAGAUGGAUCCGCGCCGCAUUAGCUAGUUGGUAAGGUAACGGCUUACCAAGGCAACGAUGCGUAGCCGACCUGAGAGGGUGAUCGGCCACACUGGAACUGAGACACGGUCCAGACUCCUACGGGAGGCAGCAGUAGGGAAUCUUCCGCAAUGGGCGAAAGCUUGACGGAGUAACGCCGCGUGAGUGAUGAAGGUCUUCGGAUCGUAAAACUCUGUUAUUAGGGAAGAACAAAUGUGUAAGUAACUAUGCACGUCUUGACGGUACCUAAUCAGAAAGCCACGGCUAACUACGU
rnacentral:rRNA from 1 species